rnacentral:rRNA from 1 species
GAUGAACGCUGGCGGCGUGCCUUAUACAUGCAAGUCGAGUGGGUUUAGACCCACGGCAAACGGGUGAGUAACACGUAGGUACUUUCCUUGUCACAGGAAUAACCCUCCGAAAGGAGGGCUAAUACCUGAUGUGAUCGCAAGAUUAAAGGGUAUCCGCAAGGAUUACCGGACAAGAAGAGGCCUGCGGCCUAUCAGCUAGUUGGCGGGGUAAAUGCCCACCAAGGCUAUGACGGGUAGCUGGUCUUAUGUGGAUGAUCAGUCACAUGGGCACUGAGACACGGGCCCAACUCCUACGGGAGGCAGUAGUAGGGAAUUUUGCGCAAUGGGCGAAAGCCUGACGCAGCGACGCCGCGUGCGGGAUGAAGGCCUUCGGGUCGUAAACCGCUUUUAUAAGGGACGAACUUUGACGGUACCUUAUGAAUAAGAGGUUGCUAACUCUGUG